GUGUCAGCAGCCGCGGUAAUACGAAAGGGGCUAGCGUUGUUCGGAAUUACUGGGCGUAAAGCGCGCGUAGGCGGCCUUGCAAGUUGGGGGUGAAAUCCCGGAGCUCAACUCCGGAACUGCCUUCAAAACUGCAAAGCUAGAGGAUGCGAGAGGUGAGCGGAAUUCCGAGUGUAGAGGUGAAAUUCGUAGAUAUUCGGAAGAACACCAGUGGCGAAGGCGGCUCACUGGCGCAUUUCUGACGCUGAGGCGCGAAAGCGUGGGGAGCAAACAGGAUUAGAUACCCUGGUAGUCCACGCCGUAAACGAUGAGGGCUAGUUGUCGGGCGGCUUGCCGUUCGGUGACGCAGCUAACGCAUUAAGCCCUCCGCCUGGGGAGUACGGCCGCAAGGUUAAAACUCAAAGGAAUUGACGGGG
rnacentral:rRNA from 1 species